rnacentral:lncRNA from 1 species
GAAUUAUGAAUUAAUAAAAAUUAUUUUGGUAUUUUUUAACAUAAAAUAUUUCAUCUUCUAAUGAACUCCUAUGUUAUGGUGAAGUCCUUAGGACUAUUUAGACUCGACAAAGGAGGAUUUAUCAUUUAGUCCUUAAAUCUGUUCGCGACCAAAUGAUAUGUUGUUACCAAGGACGACAACGUUUAUCAAGCAUAGGUCAUUGUGUGCC